rnacentral:rRNA from 1 species
UACGGGGGGGGGCAAGCGUUGUUCGGAAUUACUGGGCGUAAGGGCUCGUAGGCGGCCAACUAAGUCGGAUGUGAAAUCCCCAGGCUCAACUUGGGAACUGCAUCCGAUACUGGAUGGCUUGAAUUCGGGAGAGGGAUGCAGAAUUCCAGGUGUAGCGGUGAAAUGCGUAGAUAUCUGGAGGAAUACCGGUGGCGAAGGCGGCAUCCUGGACCGACAUUGACGCUGAGGAGCGAAAGCUAGGGGAGCAAACGGG